rnacentral:lncRNA from 1 species
UUUGCAUGUGCUCCAUUCUACUCAAACGGUCAGACCUCACUUUGUGGUAUUACCUAGAGAUCUGCAAUGCUUGUGAUUUCAAAUAUUGAGCAUAUUUUUUUCUAAAUUAUGUUGUUCAGAAGAGGGUAUAAUGAAAAGGAAAGUCUUAAUUGAUUCUAGAAACCUGCAUAUUAUUUCAAUUUUGCAAAGAAACAAGGCGAGAAGCAUUUCUAAAUAAGGAUUAGGAGGGAUUAAAUUUUAAAUCCACUUAUGUGAGAGGCUAGCGUUGGAUGAUUUUAGACGGGGAAGGGGUAGACCGAAGAAGUACUGGGGUGAGGUGAUUAGGCGGGACAUGGAACAGUUACAGCUCACCGAGGACAUGACCCUAGAUAGGAAGGUCUGGAAAAUGCGAAUUACGGCAGAGGAUUAGGGCCAGUUCGGGUCGCUAGUGUAGGGAAUUAAUUGGUGGGGGUGUAUUCCUGUUAUGAUUCCGUAUUCAAUGUUCCGUGUUCCGUGAUCCAUGUUUAUUACGAAUAUAUGUGCUUUCCUCUGCUUUAUAUUCCUGCAUUCC